AAGAAUAGAAAUUGCGAUAACAAAAUCUUAAUUCUAAUAGAAUACUAACAAUGCUCUAAUUAGACUAUAAUAAUGGUAAACAAACGUAAUCAAAUUCAAAACAACUCAAAGAAAUUUCAAACAAACAAUAAAAUUCUUAAAGAAAUAUUAGAAUGAACACAAAUAUUACUCAAAUAUAUGUCAAUUCAACCUUAAUUUAAUUCUAGUUAAAAUCCUAUUGAAUUUCAUUCAAACUUUAGACCAAACCUAAUUAAAUCUUAAACCAUAAUAAAUCCUAAACCCUAAGUCAAAUCCUAAACAAACCUUAAAUUAAAUCCUAAAUCAAACCCUAUUUCAAACCCUAAACCCUAAACCAAAUCCUAAAUCAAAUCCUAAAUCCUAAUCCAAACUCUAAUUCAACCCUAAAUCCUAAUACAAAUCCUAAACCCUAAACCAAACCUUAAAUCAAAUCCUAAUCCAAAUCCUAAAUCAAACCCUAACCAAAUCCAAAAUCCUAAUCCAAACCCUAAUCCAACCCUAAAUCCUAUCCAAAUCCUAAAUCCUAAUCCAAACCCUAAUCCAACCCUAAAUCCUAUCCAAAUCCUAAAUCCUAAUCCAAACCCUAAUCCAAACCCUAAAUAAAAUCCUAACCAAACCCUAAUCAAA
rnacentral:lncRNA from 1 species